UCAGCACCAUUCUGCCAUGCGAUAUAACAGCAUUCCUUGCUCUUAUUUGCUGGUGACUCAGGCCGUUCCUCCACGGAGAUCAGUGGAUUCCCUCCUGCUUUCAUGUAAUUCGGUGAAGAACAGGUGCUUUUCUCAUGUUGCUUUUGCUUUGGUGUAAAAGGUUUCAUAGGAAUCAUGAUGAUCUCUGGGUUAAAACUUCUGAUAGGAUGUGAUGGGGAAGUCUUGCAGGAAGUGAAGAAGAAAUUAUAUUCAUCACCAUCAACAUAAUUACGUAGAGCAAGGGAGACUCGCAUCAGAGACUGGAU
rnacentral:lncRNA from 1 species